AGUGGCAGACGGGUGAGUAACAUGUGGGUAUCCUCCCUUUGGUGAGGAAUAACACGAGGAAACUUGUGCUAAUACCUCAUAAGUCUUUACGGAGAAAGCUUUAUGCGCCAUUGGAUGAGCCCGCACUUGAUUAGUUUGCUGGUAGGGUAAUGGCCUACCAAGACGCAGAUCAAUAGCUGAUUUGAGAGGAUGAUCAGCCACAUUGGGACUGAGACACGGCCCAAACUCCUACGGGGGGCAGCAGUAAGGAAUCUUGCACAAUGGAGGAAACUCUGAUGCAGCGAUGCCGCGUGAGUGAAGAAGGCCUUUGGGUUGUAAAGCUCUUUCGUCGGGGAAGAAAAUGACUGUACCCGAAUAAGAAGGUCCGGCUAACUUCGUGCCAGCAGCCGCGGUAAUACGAAGGGACCUAGCGUAGUUCGGAAUUACUGGGCUUAAAGAGUUCGUAGGUGGUUAAAAUAGUUGGUGGUGAAAUCCCAGAGCUUAACUCUGGAACUGCCAUCAAAACUUUUUAGCUAGAGUAUGAUAGAGGAAAGCAGAAUUUCUAGUGUAGAGGUGAAAUUCGUAGAUAUUAGAAAGAAUACCAAUUGCGAAGGCAGCUUUCUGGAUCAUUACUGACACUGAGGAACGAAAGCAUGGGUAGCGAAGAGGAUUAGAUACCCUCGUAGUCCAUGCCGUAAACGAUGUGUGUUAGACGUUGGAAAUUUAUUUUCAGUGUCGC
rnacentral:rRNA from 1 species